CGCUGGCCGAACGCAGGCAGUGAGCCGUGGGCAACCCGGCAGGACGCCGGGUUAGCCGCGCUGGGCCAAGGAUGGCCCAUCGCGGCGACCCACGGAUCAAUGCCUUCGUUCGGGCAUGC
rfam:Pseudomonas sp. MF4836 contig001, whole genome shotgun sequence.